UAGAUUCAGGAUUAAAUAUGCCCUGUGUGCUGGCGUGGGAACCUUUCUACCAUUCCUAGGAAAACAGCUCACAUUCCAAACAGCUGACUUCCAAAGUCCAGAAUAUGAUCUGCUUAGAAGCUGGGGAGCUGCCUACACAGUUCUAGCCUCUUUUCUCCUCCUGACUAAUCAAGGCAUCUUUUGUUUCCUGAGCCCAUUCUCUGGGAAGGAGUGUGAAAUCAACAUUGAAGGCCCCCAAAGCUUACACAAGCCUGGGUGAGAAGGAAAAAGCCCAAGGAAGCGGUUCUCAAAUGUUGUCUCAUGAAGUGUCAACACACUUACAACUUCGGGUAAUGCAGGCAUGUAUACCAGGAUACGGCCUCUGAGAAGCCCAGGGCUGAAAAAGAGACAUGUGAUGCAGCUGAAACAAGGCACUGUUUGGAUCCACCUGCACAGAGUGGCUGCCCCACAAUGGCAGGCAUCAAAGGUGGGCCAAGAGUUUCUGAAGUCCAGGGGCAUCUUCAGAGGGAUAGAUUUUGAUGAGAAAAAGAUCAUCUUCAGAUAAAGAGAUUAUCAUCAGGCAAUUAACUGAAUUAAUAACACGAAUUUCAGCAUCUGUGUUGCUGGUGCUUCUAGUCUUUAACAAAUGAUCCAUUCAAGAUAUGGACCAAAGAACAUAUGGCUAAGAAUAAAGGCCAUUUGAAACUGUACAACAGAUUAGAAGCUUUGGGGGUUCAGCUCAGUUAAAUUGACUGAGGCCAACUCAUGAGCAUGCUCAGUUAAGCCUCCCUCCCUGCCAUGCAUGUGUACAUGAUACCCACUCAGGGGCUCUAGAAUCAUUCUGGGAUGAGAGGUAGAAGCAUGUAAAUACUUUCUAAAAAACUUCUUGCCGUUAAAAUCUUCAAAACCAUGCUCAAGUACAGAAACAAGAAUAAUGAGCCCUUAACUUCUCCCAGCUCAAUUAUCACGGUCAAUCUUAAAUACGUAAAAAAAAAAUUUUUUUAAAUCUAAGUAGGCAUCAUUUUUGCUCCUAAAGACAAGAAACUUGGGGAGAUUUUCAUGACCUCCUGAGGGUUUGUGACCUGCUGCUUCUUUGGUUCACUGACCUUGUUCAAUCCUCUCUUUAUACAAGGGAAUGCUAUGCUUCUCCCAUUCUCUCUGGCUGUCUCUCAUGCUUGCAGCAAAUUAAGUGAACUCUCUAUCAUUUCAGCAAUGGUGACAUAUAAUCCCAGUGUUAAAGGAUGGAAUUUCCCAACGCAAGAAGCAGCAGAAAGCGAAUGGAGGAAACGUUGCCAUGAGCAAAGGCUCUCAACACAGUAUCUCCAACUGUGCUACAAAGCAGCCCAGCUUUUGGAUGAAAAGUGAAAAAAAGAAUCUGACAAUGGAGUGAUUGUUCUCCCUCCACAAGCAAUGCUACUAUUUCUAACCCCUCGAUGGGCUGUGCUGGCACCAGGCAGACAUCGUCUAGGUCUUCCUCCAGUGGCGGGCAAGCCUAAAGGCAAAGGGGAAAGGUCCUGUUGUUUUCCAAGAGAACAAGCUCCACACUAGGACUGCAGCCACCAGAACCUUCCCUCACAGAACAGAGUAGGAUGAUCAGGGCAGCUACUCACCUUGUCUCAUUUGUUCACGAAGAACCCAAAGCCAGCAACGUGGAUCUGCUCCUUGCUUUUUGUCCAACUACUUGCCUACUACUCUAGAAAAACAACCAAGGUCUGCCAAGAAUCUGCAAUCUCCUAAAUCUUAAAAUAAUGACUAGCCUAUCCAGAGUUUCCAUCCAAAGCAUUGUUGGUUCCUAUACAAGAAAACCCUCUGGGGUGAGAGUCAGGAGGCCAAGAAAGGCAUGUGGUUAUUUUUGCCACACUUAGGAAAGAAUGGGAAAGUCUAUUUUUGACAUCAGCUGUUCAGCUUUCAAAUAACAUCAACCCGUAAAACAUACCUAAUUUAAAAAUUGGUUACAAAUUUUACUUAACUUUAAGCCUUUUAGGUUUUGUAUUACUUCCAGUGCAUGCACAUGCACAUACAUGAGCACGUGUGUACACACACACACACACACACACACACACACUCACACCUACAUUCUAUUCCCUGGCCAUAUAUGAGCUAAAUAAAGUUUUGGCAUAGAUUAAGGGAAUCAUGCUCCCAUUUCCAUAGGACAACUUCCAUCUUGAAAAAUAUAAUAAUAAACAAGUGAUGAGGUAGAGAGUUGAUUGCUUUGUUCAGAUUACAACGCUUCUAAGACUGACUACGGCAUUCAGUGCAGUUAGCCAUUAAACAAGGAACUAUGUGUUCAAGAGAUAUGACGGGGGCAUGAAAUGGAGAGGGAUGAGGGGCAAGAAAAGGAAUCACAUGGUAGUUGUGUACUAUUGCAGUGGAUGUGUAAGUCAUUACACUUGGACCCUGAGCUGAAGGCAGAGAUCAGACACGAAGUUCCCUGAGGACUAAUAAGGACUGCAGUGUCACUGACCACUAACCACAUUUGCUCACACAAGUGAAAAUGGCUUCUCCACCUGGGGGCCCCUAGCUUAA